rnacentral:rRNA from 1 species
UACGUAGGGGGCAAGCGUUGUCCGGAAUCAUUGGGCGUAAAGCGCGUGUAGGCGGCCCGAUAAGUCCGCUGUGAAAGUCCAGGGCUCAACCCUGGGAUGCCGGUGGAUACUGUCGGGCUCGAGUCCGGAAGAGGCGAGUGGAAUUCCUGGUGUAGCGGUGAAAUGCGCAGAUAUCAGGAGGAACACCAAUGGCGAAGGCAGCUCGCUGGGACGUGACUGACGCUGAGACGCGAAGGUCAGGGGAGCAAACGGG